UUUUAGUGUGCAUAUGAAUGCACAAAGAAACUGAAACCUCCUCUCAACAGUCUGAAGAGCAGGUUUCAACAGUGACUCAGCCCAACCCCACAACCUUUGGUGUUCAUCUAUACUUUUAUACAUAUAGUGACAGAGCUGGGAGUGGGAAAAGAAAUAUUCAUCCCACAGAGCCAAAAUAUCUAUCACCUGGGCCUUUUGACAAAGGCCAACCCUGCUCAAGGAUGACCUUUUUAGAAACUUAGAUCAUUUGACUUCAAGGUCCUCGUCACUUUAGUGGGAGAGGUCAACCAGAUGGUGGCUUGAAUUCUUCUUUCCUAGUCCAUUAAUUUGGGGAAGGAAUAAUGCUGGGGUUGUCUGUCAUGGUAGCUGUCAGAGAAGCUGUAUUUUCAGGGUAAUUCUCAGAAGCUGAUGCAGUGAUGUCCAAGCAAAGGCCAUGUGCUUUUGUCUUCCACCACCUCCUAUCAAGAGUUCUAGGGCUCCCUCAUAUCUUUUGGUCAAAGCGUAUCCAAAUCUCUCUUGCCCUUUCCUGUUUCCUAAAUAAUUCAUCACGUUGGCUAGCCCAGAUGCCCAUUUUAUUGAAAGUAACAAAGUCUGUCACUGUGUGCCAGUCACCAUUGUCACUAAUGAUUGGGGUAUCUGUUCAGCUCCAGCACCUUCUGGUACCUCCAUACCCAGAGUUCUACCCCUGACUUACUGAAUAAGCACUGGUUUUAGGCACUGGGCUGCUCUCUGAUUCCACGGUGCCGAAACAAAACUCAGGUGUGUAGGUUACAGUCUUUUAAUGUGGUCUCUUUAUUCACUGGAGGUCCUUUUCCUUCUAAGCUGUGCACUGAAAAGGCAGAAACUAUCUGAGUCAUUGUUUCCACCCUGCAGACCACCAUGGGCUUCAGAGUAAGAUACUCAGGGUCUAGGUGCUAGUUAGGGGUCAAGAUACUCUGAUGAGUCAACAAAGCAACUGAUGUGACAUCAGGGCCACUUAAGGGCCCUGUGUCUCCUUCCUUGUAUAACCUCUCCUCACACCUGAACCUAACAACCAGGGAAGGGAGGGAGUCAUGUAAGAUUCACUACCAAGAGGAUUUCUCCCAGGAUGCCAUCUUGCCUUUAGUCAUCAUGCCUGCUUCUGUCUGUUUGUAUUAUGGAUUGCAUUUAUGGAUUUACAUAUGUUGAACCAUCCCUGCAUCUCUGGGAUAAAUCCUGCUUGAUGAUGGUGGGUGUUCUUUUUGAUGCCUUCACUAUUUUCAAGCAGAUGAGAUGUGGAACACACCACUCUGUGUUCUCUAGUCCCUGGGGACAACUUCCAUAGGCAAGCAGAAAUAAGGUAUCCCUGAGGUUUCCCAAGCACUGAAUCAAAUAGUGCUUGGGAAAUUCAAAUUGCUUGCAAAUGCAAACAAUAGGAAAAGGACCUCCAAAGAGUGACAUAAGAGAUGAGAGGGUCAAAAGCAAUAGAACACAGACAAGCUUGCCACAUACAAAGUUUAUCAUGCUGUAGGAAACAGGGCUGACCAGAAGUUUAUUUCAAUUUAUUCAUGUUAUUUUUAAUGGACCAGUAAUAUUUGGGGAGAUUAGUCUAACUAGUUGACAUUAUAAUUACAGGGUAAUGUAGUUUUUAGGGCCAAAUAUUUUUACACAUGCAAUUAUCUUUCAAUACAAGAGGUUAUCACAAAGGAGUAAACUGGGGGUUAGCAAGUUCACAUACUCCUUUAAGUAGAACAUUCUAGUUUCUAAGCAGGAAAAUGUAUCAUUUUGGAAUGAAUCUAGGAAAAAUAUAAUUUAUUCACAUACUUAAAA